GGGGGAUAUUGCACAAUGGAGGAAACUCUGAUGCAGCAACGCCGGGUGAAGGAUGAAGGUCUUCGGAUUGUAAACUUUUGUACUUGGGGACGAUAAUGACGGUACCCAAGCAGCAAGCUCCGGCUAACUACGUGCCAGCAGCCGCGGUAAUACGUAGGGAGCGAGCGUUGUCCGGAUUUACUGGGUGUAAAGGGUGCGUAGGCGGCGAGGCAAGUCAGCUGUGAAAACUAUGGGCUCAACCCAUAGCCUGCAGUUGAAACUGUUUUGCUUGAGUGAAGUAGAGGUAGGCGGAAUUCCCGGUGUAGCGGUGAAAUGCGUAGAGAUCGGGAGGAACACCAGUGGCGAAGGCGGCCUACUGGGCUUUAACUGACGCUGAAGCACGAAAGCAUGGGUAGCAAAC
rnacentral:rRNA from 1 species